UACGUAGGGUGCAAGCGUUGUCCGGAAUUAUUGGGCGUAAAGAGCUCGUCGGCGGUCUGUCACGUCUGCUGUGAAAACUCGGGGCUUAACCCCGGGCCUGCAGUGGGUACGGGCAGACUAGAGUGCGGUAGGGGAGACUGGAAUUCCUGGUGUAGCGGUGAAAUGCGCAGAUAUCAGGAGGAACACCGGUGGCGAAGGCGGGUCUCUGGGCCGUAACUGACGCUGAGGAGCGAAAGCGUGGGGAGCAAACAGG
rnacentral:rRNA from 1 species